CUUUUUUUUUUAAACAAUUGGUUAAAAGUUUUCAUGUCAAAAUCGUAGCAUUCACAAUGGUAAAAUAGAGAAAAAGGACACUGUAUUACCAGGGAUGUCAUAUGUAUUCCAUUUUUUUUUCUAGUAAAAUUUGUACAGACCCACAAGGUUACACAGAGACUGGAGGCCAAAGUGAGAGAAAUCCAUUUGUAUGACACUUCAUUUUAUAGCCUGAAGCCCAGAAGCUGGCUGGGUGUUGAGGUACAUUUAAAUAGCAGUAAACAUUGCUGGCGACUGGAUGGAUUCAUCAACUGUUUUUUAAAUUUGAACUAUUCUUUCAUCUGUUACAGGUGUUCUGUGGGGCUGUGAUUUCAACACUGGUACAUGCACUGAUUUAGUCAGUUUUUAAAGGAAGACAGAGCACAUGGGGGCUUACAGAAAAGAGUGGAAUUAUGCAAAGUGAUCUCUUAUUGCUUUCUUUCAACGCACCAAAGCAUUGGGUUCUUGUGAUCACAUUAAUGGAAACAAAAGAAUUAUUAAUAAUUGACCCUUUGUGUGAUGAGAUGAGAUAUGAAAGAACCUUCCUGAGGAAUUGGAGUUUGCAGAAACAUAUUUACAGCAUAAAGACAUCAGUGCUGUAGAAACCACACAAGAGGCUCUAACUACAUUUAGAAGAAAAAUAGCAAUUCUUUUGAUGAAAGAGGCAGGUAAGAGCUUUGUUACAUAUUACCUAGUCAGCCCAUAGUAUAUGGGAAGAUAAUAGGAAAAGUGGAAUAACAUCAUAUCACAAACCAUUACCUUAAUACAUCUACAGUGGGGUAUGUCACAAGUUUGGGUCUCGAAUGGUGACUCUGUAUGAAUAAUUUCUUCAAGUCAUGAAAAAUGUGGAUGGGCUGAGUGGUUACUAUGGAUUGAGCAGUGAAAUGUAAUUGGAUAUGGUUCUACCCACCUGCAUUAAACUAAAAGUUUGAAACCCGUAGACUGGGGUACAAAAUAUCAUCUAAAAUAGGACACCCCCCGAUCCCAAAAAAGAAAAAAAUGUUUGCAAACCUGUUUAAUUACUUGACAUAAUUGACAUUAAUCAAGAUUUGCGUUUAGAGUUUUGGUCACAAUGUAAUCACCAUUUGAGUACAGUGCAUUGAUUUUUCAGAGAGCGUGGAGGAGUACUGCAUGUACUGCAACUUGGUCACUUGCAAAAAAGAAAGUGAAGAUUGCAUAAUGGUCCAGUGUGACUCUUGUGAGAGGUGGGCACAUGUGCCCUGCCUGCCAGAGGAAAUCAAUGAAGAAAACGGAUGAGGAGAAAAAGUAUAGCUGCACAAAAUGUGCAUCGUUCAGUUGUUUAUAAAAAAUGUACAUUGUGUCAUUGUUUUGUAAAGAUAAAUAUUUUGGUUUUCUUGGAAUAACACAGCUGGAAUAUAAACCAGUAAUAGAGAAGUUUAAUUUUAACAUACAUCUCAGUUAAGAACAAAAAAUGUGUUGUUAACUCUGUAUCUGUAAAUAUGUUUAGAUGCUUGUUUUUGAAAAACUCUUGAAAUGAAAAGUAAGCUGUUCUUGUUUCUAUACCUUGCUACAAUAAUAAAGUUCGUUUACAUUUUGAAAAAUA